AGAGGCUUUUUGUUGACGGUACUUGCAGAAAAAAGCGCCGGCUAAACUACGUGCCAGCAGCCGCGGUAAUACGUAGGGCGCAAGCGUUAUCCCGGAAAUUAUUGGGCGUAAAGAGCUCGUAGGCGGUUUGUCGCGUCUGCUGUGAAAUCCCGAGGCUCAACCUCGGGCCUGCAGUGGGUACGGGCAGACUAGAGUGCGGUAGGGGAGAUUGGAAUUCCUGGUGUAGCGGUGGAAUGCGCAGAUAUCAGGAGGAACACCGAUGGCGAAGGCAGAUCUCUGGGCCGUAACUGACGCUGAGGAGCGAAAGGGUGGGGAGCAAACAGGCUUAGAUACCCUGGUAGUCCACCCCGUAAACGUUGGGAACUAGUUGUGGGGUCCUUUCCACGGAUUCCGUGACGCAGCUAACGCAUUAAGUUCCCCGCCUGGGGAGUACGGCCGCAAGGCUAAAACUCAAAGGAAUUGACGGGGACCCGCACAAGCGGCGGAGCAUGCGGAUUAAUUCGAUGCAACGCGAAGAACCUUACCAAGGCUUGACAUACACGAGAACACCCUAGAAAUAGGGGACUCUUUGGACACUCGUGAACAGGUGGUGCAUGGUUGUCGUCAGCUCGUGUCGUGAGAUGUUGGGUUAAGUCCCGCAACGAGCGCAACCCUCGUUCUAUGUUGCCAGCACGUAAUGGUGGGAACUCAUGGGAUACUGCCGGGGUCAACUCGGAGGAAGGUGGGGAUGACGUCAAAUCAUCAUGCCCCUUAUGUCUUGGGCUUCACGCAUGCUACAAUGGCCGGUACAAAGGGCUGCAAUACCGUGAGGUGGAGCGAAUCCCAAAAAGCCGGUCCCAGUUCGGAUUGAGGUCUGCAACUCGACCUCAUGAAGUCGGAGUCGCUAGUAAUCGCAGAUCAGCAACGCUGCGGUGAAUACGUUCCCGGGUCUUGUACACACCGCCCGUCAAGUCAUGAAAGUCGGUAACACCUGAAGCCGGUGGCCCAACCCUUGUGGGGGGAGCCGUCGAAGGUGGGAUCGGUAAUUAGGACUAAGUCGAACAAGUGCUCGGCAUGGAUUGUCGCCUUUUGCGC
rnacentral:rRNA from 1 species